GCCCCCACCGCCCCCGCCACCCUCUGAAGGUGCCGGUGCCUGCGAGCCCCGCCGCCCAUCCCCAGCGAGCUCCAGAACACCUACGAAGCCACCCCCCAUCGACCCCCACACCAGGUAUAAAAUCGCCCGGUCGCCACCUGUUCGUCCAUCUAUUUCCCAAAUCUCUCAGCGCGACAAGGAAGCACCACAAUCAGCACCGGAGCGAAUUGGCCGCAUUGCAGCGAGGAAACAUCAACCCAUCCAAUCCAUAUUCCCCCAGCCCAAUCUCGUGCGAUCUGCCGGUGAGAGCAGAUCAGGAGCGGAAGGCCAUGGCGACGGAUGUGUAGAUGGGCAGCAGCGCGGCGGAGAUGGAGACCUUCGCGUUCCAGGCGGAGAUCAACCAACUGCUCAUCGUCAACACCUUAUACUCAUACAAGGAUAUCUUCCUCCGCGAGCUCAUCUCCAACUCAUCUGAUGCGCUUGACAAGAUCUGGUUCAAGAGCCUGACGGACAAGAGCAAGCUCGAAGCGCAGCCGGAGCUCUUCAUCCACCUCGUCCCCGACAAGGCCAACAAGAUGCUCUCCAUCAUCGACAGCAGCGUUGGCAUGACCAAGUCAGGUAUUUAUCUAUCCAUGCCCGCCUCCCUCCCCUCAUCUUGUUCGCUGAAUCUUCACGUGCAAUCGUUGCCAACGUUUUUGAAUGUCUGAAUUUUCAUUUCAUGUUCCAUCGUUGUCGAAUCCCUGAAUGAAUGUCUGAAUCUGAAUUUCUGAUGAGAACUGCUUCAAAGAUUCAGACUCGUUCAAUCCGGUUGGCGAAGGUGCCGGUGCCAUAGUUGGUGAACUUCAAGAGCAAGAGGGGAGAGCUCUGUGCCGCCACAAAGAAGCAGAAGGUCGCCGACGAGAAUAGGAAGGACGCGGAGAACACCAAGGUCAUCUACGCCCGCGCCAAGAAGUAUGCCGGAGAGUAUGAGGCCCAGGACUAGGAGCUGGUGCAACUUAAGCGUGAGGCCCGGAUGAAGGGUGGGUUCUAUGUCAGUCCCGAGGCAAAGCUGCUGUUUGUCAUCCGUAUCCGUGUUAUCAAUGCUAUGCACCCAAAGACCAAGAAGAUCUUGCAGCUUUUGCGUUUGAGGCAGGUGGGUUGAUCAAUUAUUUGGUUCUGUGAAUGCACAUGUUGCUUGAUACAUAUACUUUUGAAAAUGAUUACUGAUGCUCACUGCUAAAAUUUACUUCUACAUAUUUUUAAUGAUGAUCCGGCGUCUUUGACCUUGACAUCCAAAAGGAGGAGCAGCGACAAUUACAUACCCAACCAUGGGAAUUCAUGGUUGAACCUCCCUCUACCUCUCUCAGGGCAUCCACCGCCACGAUGACGCUCCGCAUAUGGUCCAACUUGGCUAUAACCUCCUCUACCGCGUACAGCGGCCGAGGUUGUCUGCGGCAUCAAAUAUUUUGCCUAAAUUCAAAACGAAAGAAGAUGUUCAAAGAAGCGCCAAUACAUUUUUGUAUAGCAAGUUUUGUAAUAAUAGCUGGGUUAUCUGGGCAUUUUGAACUCUAGAAUUUCAUGUAUCUUCACUCUGUUUUUGAAUGAAAUGUUGUAUGUGUGUUGAUGUAACAGAUUGUUGCUUCUUGUUAUUUGAAGUAUUACACUUGUUUUCUGUC